GACGAACGCUGGCGGCGUGCCUAAUACAUGCAAGUAGGACGCAGUUGCGAACGGGUGAGUAACGCGUAGGUAACUGACUAUUAGAGGGGGAUAACUAUUGGAAACGAUAGCUAAUACCGCAUACUAGUAGAUGGACCUGCGUUGUAUUAGCUAGUAGGUAGGGUAAUGGCCUACCUCGGCAACGAUACAUAGCCUACCUGAGCAGGUGGUCGGCCACACUGGGACAGAGACACCGCCCAGACUCCUACGGGAGGCAGCAGUAGGGAAACGUCGGCAAUGGGGGGAACCCUGACCGGGCAACGCCGCGUGAGUGAAGAAGGUUUUCGGAUCGUAAAGCUCUGUUGUUAAGGAAGCGGUACUUAACCAGAAAGGGACGGCUAACUACGUGCCAGCAGCCGCGGUAAUUC
rnacentral:rRNA from 1 species